rnacentral:rRNA from 1 species
GGAGGGUGCAAGCAUUAAUCGGAUUUAUUGGGCGUAAAGGGGGCGCAGGCGGAAGUGUAAGCCAGAUGUGAAAUCCCGGGGCUCAACCUCGGAACUGCAUUUGGAACUACACAUCUAGAGGAUAGGCGGAGAAAACGGAAUUCCACAUGUAGCGGUGGAAUGCGUAGAUAUGUGGAAGAACACCCGUGGCGAAAGCGGUUUUCUAGCUUAUUCCUGACGCUGAGGCCCGAAAGCUAGGGGAGCGAACAGGAUUAGAUACCCUGGUAGUCCUAGCCGUAAACGAUGCAUACUUGGUGUAGCUGGACUCAACCCCUGGCUGUGCCGUAGCUAACGCGUUAAGUAUGCCGCCUGGGGAUACGCUCGCAAGGUG